CAGCCACCGCGGUAAUACGUAGGGGGCGAGCGUUGUCCGGACUUACUGGGCGUAAAGGGCGUGUAGGCGGCCUGUUAAGUCAGGGGUGAAAGACCGGGGCUCAACCCCGGGGGUGCCUCUGAAACUGGCGGGCUUGAGUGCUCUAGAGGGCAGUGGAAUUCCCGGUGUAGCAGUGAAAUGCGUAGAGAUCGGGAGGAACACCAGUGGCGAAGGCGGCUGCCUGGGGAGUCACUGACGCUGAGGCGCGAAAGCUAGGGGAGCAAACAGGAUUAGAUACCCUGGUAGUCCUAGCCGUAAACGAUGAGCGCUAUGUGUGAGGGGUAUCGACCCCCCUCGUGCAGUAGCUAACGCAUUAAGCGCUCCGCCUGGGGAGUACGGCCGCAAGGUUGAAACUUAAAGGAAUUGGCGGG
rnacentral:rRNA from 1 species